GUCUGCAAGUUCAGCAUUUCAGUGCUUUAACACACUUCGCCACCAGGGCUCCUUAAUAGUUGUUUAGCACUCUCCAAAUAUCUACACUCUCCAAGAUGAAGCUCUAAGCUGCAGAAGAAAGGCCUGCAAAUUAUUAUUGAGAAACCUGAUUCAGCUGCAAAAGUUGGCCACAGCCCAAGAAAAAGGAGCAGGAUGGGAGGAGGAAGGGAUCAGAAACAAAGAAAGUUAACUUUCAUAAAGUCACCUUACAGGAAGCGUUCAGUGGUGCUGAGAGAGGACGUACAAACUUUUCUCCUUGGCUGCUGUAAGGGCAAAGUAGGUUACUGCACUUGACUCGCCCUCCAGAGAAAUGGUAUUUGUUGUAAACACAUUCCGGGAAAGUAAAGCCUAGUUUACAUAUUACCUGAAAAUUUUGAGUAUCAGGAACACACAGUGACUCAGUGGCAUGAAACAUGAGCUGCAUGCUGAAGGGCCCUUGGUUUUAUUGUUCUUUUGAUCUUGUUUAAUGUAGUGUAUAUUUUCUUUUAUUGUGUUGUUUAAUGUGCUAUGAUUUGUUGUUCUAUUAUAUUUUGUUAUAUUGCAUUGUUCUGGGCAUGGCCCCAUGUAAGCCGCCCCGAGUCCCCGUUGGGGAGAUGGUGGCGGGGUAUAAAUAAAGUUUAUUAUUAUUAAGUUUAUUAUAAGGACCAGGCUAAAUUUUGGCUCCUUCAGGCAGGGUUGGAGGGGCCAAACUCCUGUUUAAAACCUCAGAAAAUCUACCAGGCAGCAGGCUGAGAGAAGGCAAUUUUCGGCCCAUUAAGGCUUCUGGACUUUGUGUUGUCGAAGGCUUUCAUGGCUGGGAUCACAGGGUUGUUGUAUGUCUUUCGGGCUGUGUGGUCAUGUUCCAGAAGUAUUCUCUCCUGACAUUUCACCCACAUCUAUGGCAGGCAUCCUCAGAGUUAAAAAACUCUAAAAUCAAAACAGUAGAUGGGAACCAACACUCUGAGGGCAGAGGAGCCCCAAGGACGGCUAAUGACUGAACAAAGGAUGCCCCCCAGGCAAGAGACAAAACCUUUCCAAUGCUAAUUAGGGUGAUUAACUGAAACAUUAAUGCUGGCUUCCCAGUGACAAAGGACUCUUGCCACACCCUGGACUCUCCACAGAUAUAUAUAUAUUUCCUUUCCUUGCCUAGUUUAUCCAUACCUCACAACCUCUGAGGAUGCCUGCCAUAGAUGUGGGUGAAACGUCAGGAGAGAAUACUUCUGGAACAUGGCCACACAGCCCGAAAGACAUACAACAACUUCUGGACUUUAGUGAAGUUAUUAUUGUUCAUUUAUUUCCCACUUUUUCUCCAACAUUGAAACACAAGGUGACUUUCAAAUUAAUAUGCAGAAACUGCAGUCUAAACAGCAAUAAUAUUUCUUACCUCACUUCUCAAUAUCUGAGACCUUGUGUUGUGGAAGGCUUUCAUGGCCGGAAUCACUGGGUUGCUGUGAGUUUUCUGGGCUCACAACCUCUGAGGAUGCCUGCCAUCUCUCUCUCAGUCGCAUAGUUGUUUCCGACUCUUUGUGACCUCAUGGACCAGUCCACGCCAGAGCUCCCUGUCGGCCAUCGCCACCCCCAGUUCCUUCAAGGUCGAGCUAGUCACUUCAAGGAUACCAUUCACCCAUCUUGCCCUUGGUCGGCCUCUCUUCCUUUUUCCUUCCAUUUUCCCCAGCAUCAUGACCUUUUCCAAGCUUUCCUGUCUUCUCAUGAUGUGGCCAAAAUACUUCAUCUUUGCCUCAAAUAUCCUUCCCUCCAGUGAGCAACCGGGCAUUAUUUCCUGGAGGAUGGACUGGUUGGAUCUUCUUGCGGUCCAAGGCACUCUCAGGAUUUUCCUCCAGCACCAAAGUUCAAAAGCAUCUAUCUUCCUUCGCUCAGCCUUCCUUAUGGUCCAGCUCUCGCAACCAUAGGUUACUACGGGGAAUACUAUUGCUUUGACUAUGCGGACCUUCAUUGCCAGUGUGAUGUCUCUGCUCUUCACUAUUUUGUCAAGGUUGGCCAUUGCUCUCCUCCCAAGAAGUAAACGUCUUCUGAUUUCCUGGCUGCAGUCUGCAUCUGCAGUGAUCUUCGCACCUAGAAAUAUAAAGUCUGUCACUGCCUCCACGUUUUCUCCCUCUAUUUGCCAGUUAUCAAUAGGUGUAGUUACCAUGAUCUUGGUUUUCUCGAUGUUUAAAAGCAACCAAGCUUUUGCACUUUCUUCUUUCACCUUGGUGAUAAGGCUCCUCAGCUCUUCCUCACUUUUGGCCAUCAGAGUGGUAUCAUCUGCAUACCUAAGGUUGUUAAUGUUUCUUCCAGCAAAAAAGCAGGCAAAUGUCAGGAAAGAAUACUUCUGGAACAUGGCCAUACAGCCCGGAAAAUUCACAGCAACCCUUCUGAGACCUUGUUUAUAUUUCUGCUAACAACAUGUAGUUAUAUUCUUACUAUUGACCUCUCUUCAAUUGAGCCAUCUUAUCAGCUGCUAGGAUUGUGGGAGCUGAAGCCCAAAACAUCUGGAGAAGCACAGUUUGAGAAACUCUGAUCUAAACUAUAAACUGGAAUGAUAUGGGCUACAAGGUGGCAACUUAGCACUGUGUGCCUGUGCUCAGUUGUUUUGGCUACAGUAAAAGGCUCCUUUCUAUAAUCUAAGGUUGAGGAACUGGAAGAUUCAGUGGCAACAUUUCCAAUACUUUGAAAGGUUGCCCUAACACCUACAAAAAUAGUUUUGCCCCUGAAUGCCCCUGAGAGGAUGCAGAGAACAUUUUGCCACCUUUAAAGCUCAUCAUGGAACAUUUUAGGUACAGAAGAGGUCUUUUUAAUAGCAGGAAGUGAAUGAAAAUAACUUUUGGUUCACGACAUAUUUUUAAAGAAAGCCAUAGUGACUGCUGUGCAAAACUGUGGUGAAAAUGCCCCCAUGUCCCUUUAGAGGGCAUGGAGAGAUAUUUAAAGUGCGUUGUGAGAAUGCGGAGGAGUUUUUGUCUUUAGUUAACUUAUGGAAGUACAGAUCACAGCUAUCCUGGUUUGUGCUUUGUGAUAUUGACAAAAUGAAAGAGGACACAAUUUCUAUGAAAUCUACUUAGCUUCACAGCUUUAUUUGUUUCGUGUCAAAACACUGCAGAAAUAAUUAUAGAGAGAGCACAAUAAUUUUAGACCAAAAGCGGGCAACAGCAACCACAUUGUCUGUAGCUUUAAACAAUUCUUCCUCUGUGAAUGAGGCAGGGCAUUGUGGGCAAGCAUACAGAUGCUGAGUUGUUUGUUGUGCUCCACAGUCGCACAUGAUGGAGGAUUCUUCUAGGUAGUGCCAUUUUGCCAGGUUGUCUUUUGAUCUGUCCAUUCCACUUCUGAGUCUGUUUCGGGACUUCCAAGUUCCCCAUUCUUGGCUUGCCUCUGGAGAAAGACCCUCAUGGGGACCAACCAUUUGGGAUUUCCCAGUUUAGCUGCACAGAGGGAUACUCUUGCUGUUGCUGGGGGAACGUCAAGAGGAGUGGUGGUUCUCAUGAAGGUUUUUCUUGAUUUGAGUCUACUGGGAGGAGGCCGACAGCUAUGCACUGGGUGGCUUUCACAGUGUUCAACUUUAUUUCUCUCCCAGUUAGCGGGAACUUCCCAUCACAGCUCAAGCAUGCUUCACAGCUCGAGCAUGUUCAAAAAUAACUUGAAAAAAAUGGGUUGGGGGGGGCUAAAACUCCCAGAAAACUCAAUUAUCUAUACAUUGUAGCCCAAAAAUAUUCAAAAGGAAAGUAAUAGGUUAAGGCAGGGGUCCCCAAACUAAGGCCCGUGGGCCGGAAGCGGCCCUCCAAGGUCACUAACCUGCCCCCUAUCCUAAACUUUAGACUUAGGGUUGACCUAAGUCUACUUGGUCUUUGGAGGUCUCUUUGCUUACCUCUGGUCUUAUGAGACCAUCUAGAUGGUCUUUGGCAGUCUCUUUGCUUACUUAUGGUAUUAUGAAACCAUCUAGAUGGCUUUUGAGGGUCCCUUUCCUUACCGAUGGUCUUAUGAAACCAUUUAAAUGGUCUUUGAGGUCCCUUUCCUUAUCUAUGGUCUUCUGAUGGCCUGAUGAGAUCAUCUAGAUGGCCUUUGAGGGUCCCUUUUCUUACCGAUGGUCUUAUAUAACCAUCUAGAUGGUCUUUGAGGUCCCUUUCCUUGUCUAUGGUCUUCUGAUGGCCCGAUGAGGUUAUCUAAAUGGACUUUGAGGGUCCCUUUCCUUACCGAUGGUCUUAUGAAACCAUCUAGAUUCCCUUUGAGGGUCCCUUUCCUUACCGAUGGUCUUAUGAGAUCGUCUAGAUGGUCUUUGAAGGUCUCUUUGCUUAGCUAUGGCCUUAUGAGACCAUCUAGAUGGCUUUUGGAGGUCAGUUUCCUUACUAAUGGUCAUAUUAGACAAAAAUGUGUCGGAUAAUCCAGAAUGUUGGAUAAGCGAGUAUUGGAUAAGUGAGACUUUACUGUAUUUGAAUCUUCUCCCUGCUUCAAGAAGCUGUCCUCUCCCAUAGUUGCCCAAGCAUCCUACAAGGCAACGAGGGUGUGUGUGUGUGUAUGUUGAAAUCUGAAAUGUACAAUUGAAUCAAUCCUUCAGAAUUAAAGCAUGACCAAGCCAUGUCUGCGCAUCUUCUUGAAACGCUAUGACAGAAGUUAUAGAAAGCACCCAGGAUAAUUUAAAGGAGUGUGCUGAUUAUAUGUGGCCUAAAGCAAGCAAGCCCUGAAAUGGCAGAGAAAGAUGGAAUGCUUAUGACAGCAAAGCUGUGUUUGCCUAAUUUGGCAAAUAGACGGCCCCUUUUGGAUGCAGUUUGUCAUUAGUGACAUCAAAAAGGGCCUGCAGUAACAGUGAAUGAUUCAUUUCUGCCUCCCCUCAACAGGCAUUUCUCUGGCUCAGCACCUUCCAUGAACCUAAUUAUUCAUCAGCUGUAAUCAUGGAUUGCAAGAGGCACCAUUUGUGUGGUUGACUUUCAUUGUUCGUAUCUUCUCACAAGGCCCUCUUUGGCUGUUUCUGGAGGAUGUGCCAGAUAGUUAUGUAGUUUUUGUUUUUGUUUUGAACUUUUUCCAAAUAGAAGAAAAACUCAUUAGACAAAUAAUGAUGACCAUUUUCACCAAGCAGAAUGUUUAGCGCUUGGGGCUUUCUGCAAGGGCUCCCUUGAACUCAAGCAUUGGGAAACAAAUCUCUAAUGGAAAGUGGGAUCAAAGAGGAUGGAGGUUAAGUGUCAUACUCAGAAAGGGGAUGACUUUCGACUUCCCCAACCCAAGAACAGAAAGCAUUAGUUUAGAAGGAUGCUUUACGGAAUGAAAACAGAAGACCUCAACCUAUUUAGUACUGUUACCAUAUCUAGAGAUAUUAGAAGACAAUGUUGAUGUAAGUUAAUAAUUUUUAAUCUUAUUUAUAGUGUAUUGUAUAAUUUUUAUAUGUGUGUUUAUUGUAAGCCGCCCUGAGUCCCCUGUUGGGUGAGAAGGACAGGAUAUAAAUGUUGUAAUAAAUACAUAAAUAAACAAUAGAUCCUGAUUGAUAAGUAUGUCUAAAUUAUGCCUUAAUGUAAAUAUUUCAGCAGGAAAAGUAUAACUAAAGCAAGAAUGGUGAAAAGAAAACAGAUGAAUAAGAAGAAAGAAGUGAGAAGCAUAUUGUAGCUGUUAGCUUCCUGUAUCAGGUAUCAAGUUUAUUGCUUGGACGAGACAAUUCUGCUUCUUCACUUAGUGCCGCAUAUGAGCCAACAUGAACUAUGGCAGCCCCGUUGAAGAACACUGCAAGCCCUAAAGCAAAUCAAGCCGGGUAAGAUGUAAUUUUGUUAACUGUCUCACAUUUUGAACGGAUGGAAGUUACAAGAGUGUCUGACCUUUACAAAAAGUGUUAUUCCAUUCUGCCUUCUUGGUUUAAGAACAAAGGGUGCCGAAAGUAGGAAAGUCCUUGACAGAAUCAGCCAGAAAAUCAUCAUGAUAUUCCAAAUGAAUGCAUAGGAGUUAGUGGAAUCUGCAAGAUAAAACCUGCUAAGAGAUUACUGCAUUACUAUCCUAUUCAUGCAUAAUUGCUAAUACAUCCCACUGAUAACCACAAUUAAAAGCUAACAAUGUUUAGUAAAGCGGAAGGCAAUUGGACACAAGGAAGAUCAUAUUUCAGGUGGAUAGACUCAAUUCACAGUUCAGGGUUUGCAGGACUUAAGAAUAACUAUUGAUAGCAGGCUGUCUUAGAAGUGUCUAUAAAAUUGCUAUAUGUCAAAGUCAAUAUGUUGGCCCUUAGCAACAACAUACCACUGAAGUCAGCAUAAAUAUAGGUUAUGUUGGGCUGAAAGAAUGGAAGCAAUGCUGUUUUGAAUGGGGAAUAUAAUCAGGUGAUACUAUUUACAUCCUAUGUAAAUAAUGAAGCUUAAAAUAAUGUAGAAUCUAAUUGAUUGGUUUCUCUGAAUUGUCUAUUUAUGACAGUGAUGUAGCAGCCUUCCUUAUCAUUAACUGUAACAUGUAUGAUCUCUUUUCAUUCUCGAUGAUAAUAUACCUGAAUUGUUGGACAGAAUUUGAGGUGGAAUCACCAUUUAUUUUGUUAAUAUUCCUUAGAAGUAGAUUCUAGAAUGAUGUUGUCAUCUUUUGUGCUUAGAAGUUCCUGUAAAGUAAUGGCAAAUGGAUGGUAAAGCUGCAUCUAUGACAGUGAUGGCCAACCUAUGACAUGCGUGUCAGCACUGACACGCCUAGCCAUUUUUGCUGACACGCUGCUGCAUGCAGAUUGAUUGGAUGACUAAUGUCUUUUGUGGCCAAAUUUGGUGUGAUUUGGUCCAGUGGUUUUAUUGUUUACUCC